GAUAGGCCUGCGUCCCAUUAGCUAGUUGGUAAGGUAAAAGCUUACCAAGGCAAUAAUGGGUAGGGGGUUUGAAAGGAUGAUCCUCCACACUGGCACUGAGACACGGGCCAGACUCCUACGGGGGGCAGCAGUGAGGAAUAUUGCGCAAUGGGCGAAAGCCUGACGCAGCCAAACCGCGUGCAGGAAGACGGUCGUAAGAUUGUAAACUGCUUUAGUAUCCGAGGAACAAUCAGAACGAGUUUUUGAUUUGACAGUAGGAUACGAACAAGCACCGGCUAACUCCGUGCCAGCAGCCGCGGUAAUACGGAGGGUGCAGGCGUUAUCCGGAUUUACUAGGUUUAAAGGGUCUGUAGGCUGUAUAUUAAGUCAGUGGUGAAAUGUCUGAGCUUAACUGAGGACUUGCCAUUGAAACUGGUAUACUUGAGUAUGGUUGCUGUCGGCGGAAUGUAUUAUGUAGCGGUGAAAUGCAUAGAUAUGAUACAGAACACCAAUUGCGAAAGCAGCUGACAAAACCAGCACUGACGCUGAUAGACGAAAGCGUGGGGAGCGAACAGGAUUAGAUACCCUGGUAGUCCACGCAGUAAACUAUGGGCACUAGUUUUUGGCGAUAGACAGUCAGAGACAAAGCGAAAGCGUUAAGUGCCCCACCUGGGGAUUACGUUCGCAAGAAUGAAACUCAAAGGAAUUGACGGGGGCCCGCACAAGCGGAGGAACAUGUGGUUUAAUUCGAUGAUACGCGAGGAACCUUACCUGGGCUUAAAUGCUAGGCGUCUUCGGGCGUAGUCUGUAGAAAUACAGCUUANACUUGUAAGGUGCUGCAUGGUUGUCGUCAGCUCGUGCCGUGAGGUGUCGGGUUAAGUUCCAUAACGAGCGCAACCCACAUUCUUA
rnacentral:rRNA from 1 species